UCCACAUGCCCCACCUCCCUUACCUAAAACCCCAGCACAUGCUCCCCCUCGCAACCUUUAAAACCCCUUGCCUCCCAUCAUUCGGGGAGACGGGACAAAUUUGAGAGCUCUCGUCUCCCGGCUGACAUCACCCGAAAUAAAAACUCUUUCCUUGUCAUAAGCCUGGCGUUCCAGUUUUUGUUUGGCCCUUUUUGUGUGGCGGACUCGUCCAUUGGACAUUCCUUUGAAAAUACUCCAAAGAGAGGAUAUCUCCCAUAAAGCUCCUACUAUUCUCUGUUACGCUGGUCCUCAAGCUUUCUUCUUGACAGAGAGAGACAGUCAUGCAUCAGUUUUUUUCAACCCUGUUAUUGAGCAUGCUCACUAUUCAAUCUAGAUCUUGUUUGAUUGUUGGUUCCAGCAAUUGUUUGUCUCUGGAGGGUUAAACCAGUUGACAUGAGUAUAGAGGGGAAGCAGGAGGCCGGCAAGCCAUCUUCCCAGGAUUCACUUGAAUUCAUGUGCUGAAAAAGUGAAGAAAAUGGUGCCUUCCUCAGUUCUCAAAGAGUCUAUAGAUUUUUUAGGAAAUCUAUCAGCUAAUGCACUGAAGCCACUGCUACAAAUCAUCCAACUUUAUGCUUUUUAACUUUGACCUAAAAGGCCUUAGGAUCUUAUUUACUUUUUCGCCAAAAUUCUCUUCUAGAGGAGAGGAUAUAACUUUUCAAAGAGAACUUUCAAACUAGAAAGAUAAUAUGCCAGCAAUGUUGGAUCUUAAGGAAAAUGUUAUUAGAGGGUCACGAGAGGUGGAAUAAACACACUGUUUCCUAUCUGAAGCCAUUUUCAUAUUUUUACUAGUUUCCUUCAUAAAGAGAGUUUAGUUUCAGAAAUAAAGUAUACUUUUACCUUGCAAUGUAAACUUAUUUUCCAGCAGUAAGACAGAUCAGUCACUCUGCAAAACUCUCCUGGUACAAAACACCUACAAAUGAAGGAAAGAAUACUUUUAAAAAUGAAUUAAACACAUAGCUGUAAUACUAGGAAAAUAAGUAAUAAUUAUAAGUUUAGAGGCUUAAAACAAUAAAAUAGGAAGAACCCAUUGUAUUCAGAGAAAACAAGCUAUUGUCCAGACUCGAGUUCUGUGAAGAACUGGAGACCAGUGUAGAUCCAAGAGCCCUUUUACUUCCCGUACCAAGGCGUCCCUUAAACUCCACCAGGAAGUAAGACGUCAUCUGGGGGAGACAACAAGGAAGAGGAAGAAUCCUGACUCAGUAUUAAGAUCUUCUCCCAGAAGACAGCAUCUUAAACAAAGAAGAUUAGUAAAUUCAGAGAAGCCGGGAUUCUGCUAACUGGCAAGUUUAACUUCCUCCCUCCAAAUGCCCCUCCUCUCUUGCUAAGGAUCAGGAUUAAAAAAUCAGAAAUAUUAUUAUGUAGCUUAAAGAAUAUAAAUAAAUUGUUUGGAAUAGAUUUUUCUAAAUAUCUUCUGAGCUUCUUAAAAAAAAAGUUAUCUUGCAUCAUUUAGAUUCACUUUUAGAAGUCUGGGUGAGGACAUAUACUUACACGAAUUAGGUUUUC